rnacentral:tRNA from 1 species
AGAGGGUUAGUCCAAAGCAAGACCUCUGAUUUCGGCUCAGACAAUUGUGGUCCAAAUCCACACCCCUCUU